AUUUUGGUACGAUAGAUAAUAUUUUUUUUUUGGAGUUUCCAUGAAUAUUUUUAAGAUCCUUUAAAAACUAUUAUAUAAUUUGAUAAAAAAUAUUUCUAGUUGCUAAAUGUUGGCAAUAAGAUAACGGUAGUUAGUUAGUUAAAUACUUUUUUAAAUGUUAUAAGUUUGUAAAUUUGUAUGUUUUUAGUUUGUUGAUGAUAAAUUCAUAUUUAUUAUUUUUCUAUCAUUCUUUUAUGUUAUCUUUCAUGCUAAUUUAUUGUUGGUCGUCUUUAUAAUUUUAUUAAAAAUCUUAACUAACUUAUUUGACAUGCUUUCUUAGAUUCUUUAUUUUUUUUUUCUAACUUGUAAACAUUGUUCUCUAAAUAUUUUCUUCAACAUAACUCAACAUGGAGCAUCUUAAACUUUAUAUGUUAUAUGAGGUGAAUCAGACUAAUGAUUAUAUGAAUUCAUCAUUUAGUUUGCUUUAAUAACAAUAAUUUUUGAAAAUCUUGUGAAUCAUAUCAUGUUAGAUUUGUUUCAGUAUAGCUUAUUUCUUUAGUUUCUAUGAAGAUUUUGACUGUAACUGACUAUAAGAAUAUUUGUACAAACAUAAAAUUAUAGUGUUGAUUAAUAUUUAAAAUUUUAAUGGAUAAAUAAAUUUGUUAGCUUUUUGAUUGAUUAAAAUAAUUUAAAACAAAUAAAUAAGUUGUGGCUUGCGACCUUGUCUCUAUUCUCUUACUUAACGUUUUUCAGAUAAAGCGAAUGUAAAUUUCAAAUAUUUUUCUUAUAUUAGAAUUAUUCCCUACUCUAUCCGAUUUUUUGGUGUGAUACAUUUUUCGUCUAUUGGAUUUUGUCUUUGACUUUGUAUGUCUACAUUCCGUCGCGGAUGUUUUACAUUUUUCUUUGUACUAUUUCUCAUUCACCGUUAUUGUUCAUUCACUUCAAACCCUUUAUUCUUGACACUUUCCUUGUUCAUGAAGAUUAUGUUUGGUUUUUCGAUUUGGAUAUUAUUUAAGAAAACACAUUUGAUAUUGAUUUAUAAUUUAUUUUGAAAAUACACUUUUUGAAAUUUUAUUUGAAGAGUAUAUUUCUAUUUUGUGUUCUUGGAAGGACAGAUAUUGUAUCUUCAUAUUUUAUAUCAUUUUGGUUAAUUUGUUUGUUAAAUUUCCAAAUAUUUAAAAAAAAAUAUAUAUAUAUAUAUAUAUAUAUGUGAAUGAUUGAAUUUUAAUGAUUUAUUUAUUAGUUAACCUUAUUUGAUGUUGAAUUCCAUUUUGUAUUAUCAAUUUUGGAAAUUUAAUAUUUUAAAAAUAGUACUGUAAUUAUAAUUUUUCAUAUUUUGAUUGUUUUUUCUCUAAUCCUAUGUGUAUACUGUCAAUUACUUAUAGCCUCAUAUAUAAUAUAUGUUUUACUUAUUUUAAUAAUUUGUAUCAUUUUAUAUUAAUUUUAAGAUAAUGAAGUAUAAUUGGGUUAUAUAAAAUUUAAUAUGAAGUUUUAUUCAAAGUAUGCUUUAUUAUUUUUUCUAUUUAGAUUUUUAUCAAAUUAUACUCUUUAAAAACUAAUAUUUAGAUAUCUUUUUCUUGUAUAUGUAAAUGUGUAAGUGUAUUUAUAAUCGUGUUUAUAUUAUUUAUGAAUCUUAUUUUUUUUUUAAACAAUAUUGAUCAUUCUAUUCAUAAUAAAGAAUAGUACACUUUAUAAUUAUUUUUAUUAUAAUUUUUUUUGUCCAUCUUUCUAUUUGAAAAAAACAUAAGAAAAUUAAUGCAUAUGUACAAUAUCUAGCUUUACUUCUAUUUGAAAAAACAUAAGAAAAGUAAUGCAUAUGCACAAUAUCUUCGUUUACUUUGUAUUUACCAAUUUUUUACAAUGAAAGUAAAAGUAUUAUAUAUUUUUGUGAAUAUAUGUAUUUGACAUACUCAUACUGAAGUCACUUAAAUUCAUAUGUGUUAGUAUUUAAUUUAGAGUUCAAUCAUAAUAAAUAUUUUUAUAAAAUUUAAAUCGUAAUUUUAUUUUAGGUAUAAUAAAAAGAAAAAUAAAUAUAUACAACUUCAAAUUAAUGUUAAAUAAUUUUUUAUUUAUUAAAAUAAACACAUAUAAAUAAAAAUAUAUUAGAUACAUCUUCUACUUGAUCUAGUUAAAAUAUUAAUUAAUGGCGUGAUUAUGAUGUUUUAUUAGUUCACAUCAUAUUUCAUAAACUUAGAUAACACAUUUUUCAACUGAUGAAUGUAUAAUUAAUAUAUUUCAUAUCUUUAUUUUCUGUUGUCGAGAGCAUGAGACUAUACUCUAAUGUUAAUAUUAUUGUAAAUAUUAUUUGAAUUUUCAACUAAUUUAUUUUAAUUUUAGCCUCUUUGACUUUUUUUAUGUUGUCAUAUAUAUAUAUUAAUAACAUUCUAUUUCAAAUAUCUAUCAUUGAUAGAACUCGUGUGAUAUCAUUUUUAGUUUUAUAUGUUAUGUUAAUUUUUUUAAUAAAGUUUCAUAAGCAUAUGUCCUAUAAAUUUUAUCGGUGAAUUACACUAAAGACUUACGAAAAGUCACCAUAUAGUUUGCAUAAUGUUUAAUGACUAUAUUUAAAAAAAAACUUAUUGAUUAUAGAAUAUUUAGAGUUUUUUCUUAAAAAUAUAUUUGAUUAGUUUAAUGAAUAUUUUUAUUAUGAUUUUCUUAAAAACAUUAUGUCAAAAUUUAUUAAAUUAUAAUUGUUGAUUACUAAAUAACUACGUUUAUGGGGAAUUGCCACUAAUACCACUUUCCUAAUACCACUUUUCAACUUUACACUUUUCAAUUUUACCAUUAAAAUUUUAAUUGGCAAAGUACUUUGAUACCCCUAACUAAUUAAGCCUAAGACUAACUCUUCUCUCUUACAUCUCACGAUAAUUAAAUCUCAUCAUCUCACAAAUCGGCGACGGAUUCCGGCGGUGACGAGUUCUCCGGCGAGAUUGGACGACUCUGCAGAGUUGUCCGGCGAGAUCCGACGAAGCUACGGCGAGAUUCGACGAAGCUACGAAGAGAUCCGACGAAGCUACAGCGAGAUCGUACGAAGCUGCGGCGAGAUCCGACGAAGCUGCGGCGAUCUCUCUCACGACGCUAAGAAAUGCUAACAAAAGUCAAAGGAUAAUAGAUGUUGAUUUUCGUCUCUUUCUGUAAUUGUAGCUUUUGUUUCUCAAAAUCGAUAUGUUUCUGCGAAGGAAGACGGAGUUUUUCUCGUGAAGUUUUCAAAUCUCAAGUUUAUAAAAUCUUAUAAAUAUUUAUCAGUGAAGAAAGUAGUGCUUAUGUAUUAUCGUUUUUGAUAUGUCUUUGUUGAUCUUUCUUAUUUUGAGAUUUUUUUUGUGUUGAAUAUUUUCUAUUCCUUCCUUGAUCCCUAUAUUUCUUAUAAUCAGGGUCAUGAUGAUUGAACCAACGAUGCUCCAGUGACCAUAUCCAAUUGCUCCGACCAAAUCUCGCUCCGAUUUUGAAGAUCGACGAGGUUGGUGAGCUGUUUGAAGAAGUAAGAGGGACUCAGAACAAGAACGUGGUUUGUGAGAUCAAAGAAUUGCAGAUUUAUAAAGCUUUAUAAAAGUUGCAGAGUUGGCUUCUUAACACCAUCUUCUCUCUCAUCUUCUUCAGACAUCUCUUAUACUAAAACAAUCGUAUAUCUCUCCUAAGACUUGCAAAGUUGAAUAGGUUAGUUGGACAUCUAAGUGAAUUUGGCUGCAAUUGUUUUUUUUUUUUUACAAAAGAGAAGAGUGUGAUGUGGAGAAACCUUGAUGUUCUCAGAUUAUGUUUGAAAUGACAACUUUUUGUUGACAACAAGGAAUUAUCUCUAAUGUUCAGAUGAGAACCUUAUAUAGUCCUUUCAACUCAUAGUCUUGCUCUUUCCAUGAAAUGGCCUGUUAUUCUGUGGCUAAGUAAUUGAAACUACUCAUUUUUACUACAUUUUGUUUCUUGUAAUAGAAAUCAAGCUUGGUUAGGUUGACGUUGAAUGGUCUAGAUUUUGUGCCAAUAUUCAUGUGACCAAAUGGGUUACAUGAAGGGAACCUUAUACGGAAGAGAGAACAAGAAGAGAAAUAACACAUUGUAUCCAGAAUUCAAGUAAAGAAACAUAUCGUUCAGAUGUUUUUAGUGUCUAAAUUAUGAAGGUAAAUUAGGAUUCCAUAUCAAAUGA